UUGAACGCUGGCGGCAUGCCUUACACAUGCAAGUCGAACGGUAACGGGCCUUCGGGUGCCGACGAGUGGCGAACGGGUGAGUAAUACAUCGGAACGUGCCCGAUCGUGGGGGAUAACGAGGCGAAAGCUUUGCUAAUACCGCAUACGAUCUACGGAUGAAAGCAGGGGACCGCAAGGCCUUGCGCGGACGGAGCGGCCGAUGGCAGCUUAGGUAGUUGGUGGGAUAAAAGCUUACCAAGCCGACGAUCUGUAGCUGGUCUGAGAGGAUGAUCAGCCACACUGGGACUGAGACACGGCCCAGACUCCUACGGGAGGCAGCAGUGGGGAAUUUUGGACAAUGGGCGCAAGCCUGAUCCAGCCAUGCCGCGUGCAGGAUGAAGGCCUUCGGGUUGUAAACUGCUUUUGUACGGAACGAAAAGCCUUCUUUUAAUACAGGAGGGUCAUGACGGUACCGUAAGAAUAAGCACCGGCUAACUACGUG
rnacentral:rRNA from 1 species